GCAUUUGCAAACCUGUGAAAGAUCAAUAUGCACCAGUGUACAUUACGAUUGGUGAUGGAGGAAAUCUUGAAGGCUUAGCGACAAAGUAAGUAUAUCAGUAUGCUUGAUAUAUUGUUGCAUGACAAUCGUCUUUCUAUUUGUGAACAUGCUUAAUCUGCGAACCAUUUCUUUUUGUGUUGCAGUAUGACAGAACCACAGCCAGAUUACUCAGCUUAUAGAGAGGCCAGUUUUGGUCAUGCUACUUUAGACAUCAAGAAUCGAACCCAUGCCUACUAUAGUUGGCACCGUAAUCAAGAUGGAUAUGCAGUAAAAGCAGAUUCUAUGUGGUUUUUCAAUAGAUUCUAUCACCCUGUAGAUGAUUCCACAACUGCUGAAUAAUAACAGAGAAGCAAAUAAACAUUCUCUUAUUGUUCUUUUGAAUAAAUUCCCAAAUGUAUUAUCAAAUAGAAGAUUCAAUACUUUCUUCAACCUUAUGUUUUGGAUACAUGCUUGAAGUUGAAAUUUGAAUCUCAUAAUUCUGUGUCAUUUUGAUAGGCUUUUGAACAAUAACAGCAUACAAAUUUUGCUACAUUAUUAGAAAGAGAAGGUUCUAAACCCAUCAGAACAGCACAAGACAAAAAGCUAGUGUGAUUUACAACCUUAAAUGAAAGAAAGUAAUUUCACAAAGGUGAAAAAACAAAGACUACUAAAAACCAAAAACUAUUUUAGAUUCUGUUUUCAAUCGUUCUCUUAGUUUAAUUCAUCCCCUUAUUCAUUCCUCUUUUCCUCGUAGUUUUCUCAUAUCUCAAACAUAAAAACUAAAAACUAAAAAUGACAUGAUUGUUAAACGAACCUAGAUAUUUCAAACUCAACUAGUAAAACUUUUUCCCUUAAAAAAACGUAUUAUUAUAUUUCAAGCCCCUUUUACACCAUUUACAUAUCGGUUGAAAGAGAAAUUUUUUUAUGUUACAACUUACAAGCCACAUAAAUACAUGAUGGUACUAAUUUAUAUAUUAUACUAUAUUCUAAUUACUCAGGUCAGUUUCAAACUAUACUCUAAUAGCUCUUGCUUGGCGUAGGAAAAGACGCUAAAUUACUAGCGGCAACAAGCACCCUUAACAUUUAGGCAUGGAAGUAAAUGUAAGCGAUGAAAUAUAAAUGGAUUAAUAACAUCACAUGAUGGUGUGAUGUUCACACUAUAUAAGAUUACAUAUGAAAAAAGUUGAGAUAAAUAAACGAACAAGGUCAUUCAUAUUCAUGGAGAAAAAAAGAUGACCAUAAAAAUAGUUUGCUAUACCAAGUAUGACUAUUUCUUAGAUUUACCAAACUAAUAUGGGAAACAAUAAAGGAAUUGAUCUCCGACAAUGCCAUACCUCUGUCAACAUGGCGAGCGUCAUCCUGGCGAAGGUCAUCGAGUACUGCAGGAAGCAACGUGAAGACGAGGGGGCUGCUGCUGAUGGAGAUCGAUGAGUUCAUGAUGAAGAUCGACCAGAACACUCUCUUUGACUUAAUAUUGGCUGCAAACUAUCUCAACAUGAAGGGCCGGCUUGAUCUGAGGUGUCAGACAGUGGCAGACAUGAUCAAGGGGAAGACACCUGAAAAGAUGUUAGGACCACAUUGUUGGAGGGCCUAUUAGCUCUUCGUUCAGCCCAUACUUGUAGCCCACAACUAUGUUUGCUCAAGCCCAGCCUGCUUUGGAGAUAGGGUUUCCCUUUCAGUUGAGAUAUAAAUAAAUGUAAUGUACCCAGUGAAGGCAUGAUGAAUGAAAUAUGUCUCCUUCUUUUUCGAAUUCCUUUACUCUUUCAUUUUCUUUCUCCUGCAUUGUUCCUUUGAUUUUUAGUUUUAUGUGUCUGAGACCGAUUGGCCGUACCAAUUGGUAUCAGAGCCCUUCGAUGGGCAAAACCACCCCUUCCCCCAGUUCUGAUCCUGACGCCGUUGCAGCGGCGUAUGACGUUCGCAAUGACCACCUCCGCACCCAGGUCGACAACAUCUCUGAUUCCGUCUCAGCUUUGGAAAACCAGCAAACAUCCUUCCAACAAUCUCUCGACCAAAUGAAAGAUUCAAAUGUAGCUUUUCAACACACCAUCACCUCCCAGUUCACAGCUUUCCAAUCCUUGCUGUUGGACAAACUACGCUCCCUUAAAUCCGCCCUCCCAGUACCUCCAACCACCACAACACCAUUGACAACCACCCUACCCUUUCCCGCACCAUCUUUUAAACCCAUCUUUCCGAUCCCUCUUUCCUCCACCGACUAUAUCCUACAUGGAUUUAGGGUUUUCCCACCCACUCGUUUUGACCCCACUUCCCUCUUCCAUCCCUUUAACCCGGCCCAUUACAUCCCCUCAUACCAUCACACCGAGGCCCAUUUCCUCUCACCCGUACCAGGCUUCUUCAAAUUUUUCUCCACACCCAUCCACCCCAAUUUCAUCAUUUUCCCACUCCUUCAAUGUCGCACCCACCCCUCCUUCUACUAUCCCCACCCUUCUACCCCAUUCUUUCUAACACCCACAUUCAUCUUUCAUUUCCCCCAACCCUCUUUCUCCUCUUACCUAUCCACCCCACCCCUUGCCCUCAUCCGCUCCAUUUUCUCCCCACACUCAACUACACAUCACACCCAACCCCCAUCCCCAACCCUCUCACUUUAGAACAAUCAAAAUGGAGUUACCACGUUUUAAUGGAGAUGACCCUUAUGGGUGGCUGGCCAUGGCCGAGCGAUACUUGGAUUAUUAUAAGGUUCCCCCAAAUCAAUGGGUUUUGGUGGCAGCCUGUAACUUUGGGGUCGAUUCAUCGAUUUGGAUGCAAGGGUUUGAACAACGGUAUGGUCGAGAUAAUUGGAGUCUCUUUGUUGACCUUUUGCUUCAACGUUUUGGGGGUGACGAUCAAGCAAACAUUGAAUCUCAG
rnacentral:lncRNA from 1 species